CGAUGGGCCGACGUCGCAUGCUCCCGGCCGCCAUGGUUAGAGUUUGAUCAUGGCUCAGGAUGAACGCUGGCGGCGUGCUUAACACAUGCAAGUCGAACGAUGACUUCUGUGCUUGCACAGAAUGAUUAGUGGCGAACGGGUGAGUAACACGUGAGUAACCUGCCCUUGACUUCGGGAUAAGCCUGGGAAACCGGGUCUAAUACCGGAUACGACCUCCUGGCGCAUGCCAUGGGGGUGGAAAGCUUUAUUGCGGUUUUGGAUGGACUCGCGGCCUAUCAGCUUGUUGGUUGGGGUAAUGGCCCACCAAGGCGACGACGGGUAGCCGGCCUGAGAGGGUGACCGGCCACACUGGGACUGAGACACGGCCCAGACUCCUACGGGAGGCAGCAGUGGGGAAUAUUGCACAAUGGGCGAAAGCCUGAUGCAGCGACGCCGCGUGAGGGAUGACGGCCUUCGGGUUGUAAACCUCUUUCAGCAGGGAAGAAGCGAAAGUGACGGUACCUGCGGAAGAAGCGCCGGCUAACUACGUGCCAGCAGCCGCGGUAAUACGUAGGGCGCAAGCGUUGUCCGGAAUUAUUGGGCGUAAAGAGCUUGUAGGUGGCUUGUCGCGUCUGCCGUGAAAACCCGAGGCUCAACCUCGGGCGUGCGGUGGGUACGGGCAGGCUAGAGUGUGGUAGGGGAGACUGGAACUCCUGGUGUAGCGGUGAAAUGCGCAGAUAUCAGGAAGAACACCGAUGGCGAAGGCAGGUCUCUGGGCCAUUACUGACAUUGAAAAGCGAAAGCAUGGGGUAGCGAACGGGAUU
rnacentral:rRNA from 1 species